UUAAAGCAAAAAGGUCAAACCCUAAACUGUCCUCUUAAAUCCAAUUAAUAAACUUCAGAAACAUGAGUUAAAUUAACGCGGUGACAAAGGGGCUUUUGUUACAAGCUUUCACUAUUUUUCAAUUAACAAUGAAUUAUGACAUCAGAUGAGAUCAGCACUCCUGAGAAGUUGGGAUUAAUUUCAAUGCAACCAUAGGCAUAUUUGGAGUACUACUGAUCUUUGGAGUGGCUCAUGUUGCCUGAGAAGGCGAUUGUGAAGUUCCUCUGAGAGAAACUUCAUUUACCAUGGCAGAAGCCCCACGAGCUUGAACUUGACUCUUUCCCUGUUUAACACUAAAUCAAUGUGAAACCGGCACAUGAGGUGUGUCGGUCUACGGCUGCCCUUGAUCAGAAUAACUGGUGAAUUACCUCUGAGAGUCAACCCAGGCCCAAAGACUGUUGGUAUAAGCAGCUUGAUAUUUUAUGCCAUUUUUUAAAUCUGUGUUUGAGGUGGGGCUUGCCCAUGAUUGUAGGGGCCAGAGGUCAACCUCAGGUAGACUCUACCUUGAUUUCUCAGACAAUGUGUCUCACUGGCCUGGACCUCACCAGGUUGGCUAGGCUGACUGGCCAGAGAAGCCCAAGGAUCUGAUGUUUCUAACCUCCCCAGUGGUGGGAUUAAAAUGGCACCAGCACUGCAAGCUCCUUUAUGUGGGGUCUGGGCAUUGAACUCCGGUCCCCAUUUUUAUAUACCAAGCACCUCACUAACUGAGCCAUCUCCCCAGUUCCACAUUUCUGUGUUUCUAACAAUUAAUUACGUUCCCACUCUGUUCUCCCUUUGCCCCAUACUCUUAAAGUAACAGGCAGAAUGGUCUCAUUUCUGAGAAAAGAAAUUUUAUUUGAUUUUACUGGUUUUCCAGCCCCAUCCGAGAAUGCUGUUCUGGUCUGAGCUAUUUAAAAACGCAUAGCCUCCGAUUCCCAGUUCUGAGAGCUAACACUUUGCCAAGCACCUCCUAGCUACAAAGUGACCUUGACACAUGUCAUUCAGCAGGGUUUCAAAUCAAAGUCAUCCUGUUUAAUAUUCAUAAAGACUUUUUUUUUCCUUCCUAACAGCAUAUGUAGCGAUUUUACAAGGGCUAGGGUUGGGAGCUUUAUUUAGAGAUGGGUUGUAUUCUGAGAAACGUACCAUCAGCAUCUCUCCGAUGAACUGAAGUAUUAGUUUGGAGGUAGGGAAAUUUCGUUUGGCAUUCUUCAAGGGAAGAGAGUGAAGUGCUCGAUCCUGACAGGUUUUUCUCAUUGGGGGUUUCCUGGGCUGGUCCAUCUGUGAUACUGAAUUCGGAUACUGAAUUUAUUACGAUAGCAUUAAUAGGUUUCUCGUCUGCAUGCUUUUCAUUCGUGAGUUGCGUAUCUAGAUGAAAAAAAAGAAAACACACAUAUACAAACCCACUGUGAUCUAAGAAGGGACAUUUGCAGGAAAAUUUACAUUUUGCACUUUGAGAAAAUAAAGUCCCAUGAGAGGGAAUACAACAUUAUCGAACAAGGUUAUUUUGAGAUAGAAUUGAAAAGUACAGUCACAAAUUUUUAUAUACAAUGUAAAUUUCUCAUUAAUUUGAAAUGUAUUUUUCUACAUCAGUUUUUAAGAUGGUGAGUUGGGCAAACCAAAGAACUCAUUCACGUAGAUCAACAAGAUGUUACAGUGUGAUAUCUGCAUCAUAGAAUAUUAUGGAUAUGAGAAACCAGGUGAUUCUGGAAACUUCCAAUGGUCUCAAUAAAAUCACUAUUCCUUUUGCUGGUGUUGUUUUCAAUUUCACUAACUUCAUUUUUCUUCUAUUAUAAGAGAAAAACUUAGCCACAUGCAGAUAAACAGUCUAUAGGUUCAGUUUUCUGUCAGCAAAAACUCUGCAAACAUCCUGUCCCACUUUCAUACAUAAAUUGCUUUGAUGUAGGGAUUGGCAUUUUAUACAGGCCUAUUCAUGUGAUGGCCUCUCUGGCUUUGGGGUUGUCUUCUGGGGAACAUACCUUAUUGGGCAUAAUCAAUUGGGAUAACCAGAGUUCAGGAAGUUCCCAGCAACAUCCUGGCCAAGACUCCAGUUUGAAGAGGCAAAGGGAAAGUUGAAAAGGCUCAUGACCUCAAUCCUUGUAAUAAAGCAAAGUUUGUAAGUAGAGCCCAAACUGGACUGAACACUGGGAUUCAAUGUGCCCAUCACAAGCACACCUUAGCAACUGGGGGGAGGUGUAGAAAAGCUGUGUUCUAUCUGGCUGUUUCAGAGGGAGGCCAAAGCCGGAGGGCAGCUUGAUAUUUAACACAGCUACGUCUAUAAACAAAGUCCUGCGAUGGAAAAGGAGGAAGCCCAUGAGUACAUUCUUAAGCACACCCCAGGCUGGUCCCAGGGGCAUCCUCAGGUGGAACUGUUGAGAGAUGGAAAAGACAUGCUUAGGAAUUCCAUUCUCCAGAGAGUCCAGGGCUUGGGUGACUCAGCAGUGCUCACUGGGGGACUUGAGGUAGGCUGACCUGACGGGAGAAGAAAACCCAGCUCAGUGUGGGAAAUCCACUCUUUCUUAGUCCAUGUUUAUGGCCCGUUUUCAAUUGGUCUUUUCUUUUACAGGAAUGUGAUUCUCUGAAACAUCUCUAGCAUCCAAUCAGCUGAGAAAUCUAAAGUUGCUGACCUGUUCAAAAGUUCAAAUAUCAUUCUCCCUAGCAGCCCCACCAAAUCACCAUCCCUUGAGGACUUUACUGAAACUUCUCAGGUCAAUCCAACCUGCAGACGAGUCUGGGAGUUCUAAGGAGUUCUGCUUUUGGGAAGGGGAAGGCAGAGAAAGAUCAAUCCACAGACUUGUCAAUCAGGGGUUCUCAAAACCCAUCCUGAGAUGGCCUCUCUUUCUGAAGUCUUGAACUGGAAGAAGACCAAACAGUCUGCCACAUGCAGUCCUCGUGGGCCAUUUUUGUUUCUUUCCAAUUUUCCAAACAGCCUUGGUUUUUGACAAUGUUUAAUUUUUAUUCCCUUUCCCAUAUGCUGCUGGCUUUAAAUCCCUUGGUAGUGGUUUAAUCCACCCUAAAAAAGAUUGGCAGAAGUAGGGGUUCAGGAAAAAACAUCUAUUGUUGACAGCAAUUAAUGUAGUAUUGAAUGCUGAAUGUGGAAAUAGAAUUGGCAUUACAUGUUGGCAAACUCUAGGCUCCUCCAACUCAAGAAAUACUUGCCAUGUUAAUAACACAAUGAUGUUGGUGAUGGUCAUGGUGAAAAUAAGUUUACUUUCCUUAUUUACUUGGAUAUAAAAGACAUCCAACCAUGAGCCACUUCCCACUAAGAUGGGUAUUUAAAUACUGUCUUCAAUUGCUUAGCCGUGUCAAGAUUGUGAGCCAGACAAUGGAUACAUAAGGGCACCUUAUCAUCUUCUAUUUAGGAGACACUUAGUUGUAGUUUGUCUCCCUAAGCUAUGAU
rnacentral:lncRNA from 1 species